UAUCUGUGAGCACAAGGACCUUGUACCCUCUCCAAAAUGGGUCACCAGGAAUGCUGACCUUACUAGUCUAUUCUCAUGCUGAGGAGACAACAUGGAUAGGUUGGUGCUGUGAAUCUGAAAUGUCUCAUGAAAGCGAGGUCAGCAGCCACCUAUAUUACAUGGUCCGACCACUGUGAUGUUCUUCUACAUAGGCUCAAAACAAUGCACCCAGCCAAUCAUGGACUAAAAAUUUUGAAACCAUGAGCCCCAAUAAAUCUUUCCUCAUUCA